UACGGAAGGGGCGAGCGUUGUUCGGAAUCAUUGGGCGUAAAGGGCGUGUAGGUGGUUCUGUAUGUCUACCGUGAAAGCGUACGGCUCAACCGUAUUUUGUCGGUAGAAACUGCAGGACUUGAGGCUGGGAGGGGCUGGUGGAAUUCCCUGUGUAGCGGUGAAAUGCGUAGAGAUGGGGGAGAACACUCGUGGCGAAGGCGGCCAGCUAGACCAGUUCUGACACUGAGGCGCGACGAGCGUGGGGAGCAAACAGG
rnacentral:rRNA from 1 species